rnacentral:rRNA from 1 species
UGGGGAAUAUUGCACAAUGGGGGAAACCCUGAUGCAGCCAUGCCGCGUGAAUGAAGAAGGCCUUCGGGUUGUAAAGUUCUUUCGGUAGCGAGGAAGGCGUUGAUGUUAAUAGCAUCAGCGAUUGACGUUAACUACAGAAGAAGCACCGGCUAACUCCGUGCCAGCAGCCGCGGUAAUACGGAGGGUGCGAGCGUUAAUCGGAAUAACUGGGCGUAAAGGGCACGCAUGCGGUUGUUUAAGUAGGGUGUGAAAGCCCCGGGCUUAACCUGGGAAUUGCAUUCUAAACUGGACGACUAGAGUACUUUAGGGAGGGGUAGAAUUCCACGUGUAGCGGUGAAAUGCGUAGAGAUGUGGAGGAAUACCGAAGGCGAAGGCAGCCCCUUGGGAAUGUACUGACGCUCAUGUGCGAAAGCGUGGGGAGCAAAC